rnacentral:rRNA from 1 species
UACAGAGGGGGCAAGCGUUGUUCGGAAUUACUGGGCGUAAGGGCGCGUAGGCGGCCCGCUAAGUCGAACGUGAAAUCCCCGAGCUCAACUCGGGAACUGCGUCCGAUACUGGCGGGCUUGAAUCCGGGAGAGGGAUGCGGAAUUCCAGGUGUAGCGGUGAAAUGCGUAGAUAUCUGGAGGAACACCAAUGGCGAAGGCAGCUCACUGGGACGGUAUUGACGCUGAGACGCGAAAGCGUGGGGAGCAAACAGG